AUGAACGCUGGCGGCGUGCCUAAUACAUGCAAGUCGAGCGAACAGACGAGGAGCUUGCUCCUCUGACGUUAGCGGCGGACGGGUGAGUAACACGUGGAUAACCUACCUAUAAGACUGGGAUAACUUCGGGAAACCGGAGCUAAUACCGGAUAAUAUAUUGAACCGCAUGGUUCAAUAGUGAAAGACGGUUUUGCUGUCACGUAUAGAUGGAUCCGCACCGCAUUAGCUAGUUGGUAAGGUAACGGCUUACCAAGGCGACGAUGCGUAGCCGACCUGAGAGGGUGAUAGGCCACACUGGAACUGAGACACGGUCCAGACUCCUACGGGAGGCAGCAGUAGCGAAUCUUCCGCAAUGGGCGAAAGCCUGACGGAGCAACGCCGCGUGAGUGAUGAAGGUCUUCGGAUCGUAAAACUCUGUUAUUAGGGAAGAACAAAUGUGUAAGUAACUAUGCACGUCUUGACGGUACCUAAUCAGAAAGCCACGGCUAACUACGUG
rnacentral:rRNA from 1 species